rnacentral:rRNA from 1 species
AUGAAAUUAGCAUGCAAGUCUGGGACGAGCAUCCUUAGAAACCACAUUGGCGAGUCAUGCCCCAAAAUCGAUGAUGAGUCCAGAAAUAGGUUUCUUGCAACAAUUAAGAAAAAACCAUCAGAUGUGGGGUUUGUUUUCGAUCCUCAGAGAAGCCGUCAGCUCAUGAUCAAAUAUUGCAUCCACGCCGAGGUUGCAUUCAGGAAGUUUGACGAUCCUUACUUUGAAGAGUGGAUGGACUCGAUGCAGCCCACCUUUAAAGUCAUUCGGCGCCAGACUGUUCGCAAUGAUAGAACACCAACAGCCCGUCUUUUUUUGCACAUGGUGUUGUGCAUCCGCGACGCGCUAAGGGACCCUCAGUGGAGCACUAGUGGCACUAUGUCAAACCUUGUCUAUGCCAUGGGCCAAAAGUUUGAUAAAUACUGGAAAGAGUCAAAACUGAAUGUUGCAGUUUUCAUCGCAACGGUGUUAGAUCCAACCAAGAAAUCUGACUUCUUGGAAUUCUCCUUUGAAAAUCUAAAUCUUCAUCAUGUUGCCGAGAGGUUCCGGUCUACUAGUAUCAAGAAGAAAGCCGGGGUAGAAGAAACCAUUCAGAAAAGGGAGAUGGAUGUCCAGCAACUAUGUAAAAUGCAUUCUGUAGCUGAGUAA